rnacentral:rRNA from 1 species
AUACGGAGGAUGCAAGCGUUAUCCGGAUUUAUUGGGUUUAAAGGGUGCGUAGGCUGUUCGGAAAGUCAGGGGUGAAAGCCCGGCGCCUAACGCCGGAACUGCCUUUGAUACUUCCGAGCUGGAAUACGGAUGCCGUGGGAGGAAUGAGUAGUGUAGCGGUGAAAUGCAUAGAUAUUACUCAGAACACCGAUUGCGAAGGCAUCUCACGAAUCCGUCAUUGACGCUGAGGCACGAAAGCGUGGGGAUCAAACAGGAGUAGAUACCCUGGUAGUCCACGCAGUAAACGAUGAUGACUAACCGUCGGCGAUACACAGUCGGUGGCCAAGCGAAAGCGAUAAGUCAUCCACCUGGGGAGUACGUUCGCAAGAAUGAAACUCAAAUGAAUUGGCGGGG